rnacentral:rRNA from 1 species
GAAGCGGGAAGAGCCCAGCACCGAAUCCAGCAGCCUUGCGCUGCAUGGAACUGUGGUGUUUAGGACGUCUAUUGCUGCGACGGUCGGGUGCCCAAGUCCUCCUGAUCGGGGCCUCUCCCAGAGCGGGUGUCAGGCCUUUACCGGCACUCGACGUCGUGGCUAUGAACGUCCUUGGAGUCGGGUUGUUUGAGAAUGCAGCCCAAAGCGGGUGGUAAACUCCAUCUAAG